UAAUGCUGGUGCCGUGACGGUUCCCCGCGCCCGGAGCGGCAAGGGGAUCAAAAGGGAACACGGUGCGACGUACCCAUCAGGGCGCAAAUCCGUGGCUGCCCCCGCAACUGUAAGCGGUGGGCGCUCUCAUGACGCCACUGCACGACAGGCAUCGAUCCGAAAAGCGCCCUGCGGUUUUCGGAUAAGGCGAUGCCCGGAUCUGCGGGAAGGCGAGGGCGCUGCAUUCACCGUGAGCCAGGAGACCUGCCGGCACAUGAGGGUAAUU
rnacentral:ncRNA from 2 species